UUCCUGGUGGUCCAGUGGCUAAGACUCUGAGCUCCCAAUGCAGUGGGCCUGGGUUCAAUUCCUGGUUGGGGAA
rnacentral:tRNA from 1 species